ACCUACGGGGGGCAGCAGUCGGGAAUUUUGGGCAAUGGGCGAAAGCCUGACCCAGCAACGCCGCGUGAAGGAUGAAGUAUUUCGGUAUGUAAACUUCGAAAGAAUGGGAAGAACUCAAUGACGGUACCAUUUAUAAGCUCCGGCUAACUACGUGCCAGCAGCCGCGGUAAUACGUAGGGUGCAAGCGUUGUUCGGAUUUACUGGGCGUAAAGGGCGCGUAGGCGGCAAAUUAAGUCAGCUGUGAAAUCUCCGAGCUUAACUCGGAACUGUCAGCUGAUACUGAUCUGCUAGAGUGCGGAAGGGGCAAUCGGAAUUCUUGGUGUAGCGGUGAAAUGCGUAGAUAUCAAGAGGAACACCUGAGGUGAAGACGGGUUGCUGGGCCGACACUGACGCUGAGUGCGCGAAAGCCAGGGGAGCAAACGGGAUUAGAUACCCUAGUAGUCGA
rnacentral:rRNA from 1 species